rnacentral:rRNA from 1 species
UACGUAGGGCGCAAGCGUUAUCCGGAAUUAUUGGGCGUAAAGAGCUCGUAGGCGGUUUGUCGCGUCUGCCGUGAAAGUCCGGGGCUCAACUCCGGAUCUGCGGUGGGUACGGGCAGACUAGAGUGAUGUAGGGGAGACUGGAAUUCCUGGUGUAGCGGUGGAAUGCGCAGAUAUCAGGAGGAACACCGAGGGCGAAGGCAGAUCUCUGGGCCGUAACUGACGCUGAGGAGCGAAAGCGUGGGGAGCGAACAGG